UACGUAGGUGGCAAGCGUUAUCCGGAAUUAUUGGGCGUAAAGCGCGCGUAGGCGGUUUUUUAAGUCUGACGUGAAAGCCCACGGCUCAACCGUGGAGGGUCAUUGGAAACUGGAAAACUUGAGUGCAGAAGAGGAAAGUGGAAUUCCAUGUGUAGCGGUGAAAUGCGCAGAGAUAUGGAGGAACACCAGUGGCGAAGGCGACUUUCUGGUCUGUAACUGACGCUGAUGUGCGAAAGCGUGGGGAUCAAACAGGAUUAGAU
rnacentral:rRNA from 1 species